GAGUUUGAUCCUGGCUCAGAACGAACGCUGGCGGCGCGCUUAACACAUGCAAGUCGAGCGGUCUCGCAAGGGACAGCGGCGAACGGGUGCGUAACACGUGGAUAAUCUGCCCUGGAGUGGGGGAUAACUCGCCGAAAGGCGAGCUAAUACCGCAUGAGCCCACGGCCUCCUCGGAGGCUGAGGGAAAAGGAGCAAUUCGCUCCAGGAUGAGUCCACGGCCCAUCAGCUAGUUGGCGGGGUAAAGGCCCACCAAGGCAACGACGGGUAGCUGGUCUGAGAGGACGACCAGCCACACCGGAACUGAGACACGGUCCGGACUCCUACGGGAGGCAGCAGUGGGGAAUAUUGGACAAUGGGCGCAAGCCUGAUCCAGCAAUGCCGCGUGUGUGAAGAAGGCC
rnacentral:rRNA from 1 species